AUAUGGAUCGUGAUAAAAAAAGCAAUGUCUCCUUCACACAUCCUUCUAUUGUAUCCCUGUUAAAUGGGCCCUCCAGAGAUAUCAUGACAAAGUUAAGUGGGACAACUGGUAUAUCACCUGGAGGGGAAAAAGACAGGGUUGGGAGGAGAUUAUACUAAAGACAUACUAAAGAUUAUACUAAAGACAUAAUAAAGACAUAUUGUGAACACUUUUAAUUAAUUACCUGAUUAAUAUUAAAAAAUAGAAUUUUCCAUUUUCCCCUUAUACUUGUAAUAUUAUUUCAGAUAAUGAAUAUAUGUAUUCAUUAUCUCAAUGUCACCUAAAAGUAUAAUGUAAUUGGCUCAUGAUAAAAAUAACUGGCCAUUUAAAUAGUCUAAACAAGGAUUUGGUUUUCUGGGAGGAGAGCAGUGAAAAAUUGUUUCUAUUUAUUGUUUUCUGAGGUUUUCAGAUCCCUCUUCUUCCAUAACACUCUGCAUCUGUAUUUAUGAAUGUCUUCUGGCUGCCAUGGCAUCUUUAGGUAAUUACAAAUAUUUGUAAAUAUUAAACGUUUGAAAAGAUAGCCAUCUUAUCUUUCCUGAAACUAAGUCUUAUACAAAAGUAUCCAGCUAGACGAGAUGCAGAAAGCCUUUCUUUCCAAAGAGCUCACAAACGACAGGGCAAAGGAACACGAUUGUGUGUUGCUUGAAGGAAGCGGGGAUCUAUUUACCUAGAACUGAUGUAGGAGCUGUGCAAGGCCCACAGGUCAGAAAAAAGUAAACAGCAAAGAUGGCAGAGAUGACCAUGACAAAGAAUGGCCAUAACAAGGUCCACUGGUGGAGGAGCAACAUGCAGAGAGGCAUGCUCCAAGCAUUCACUUAGCACAAAUUAUUCUUUCAACUGCCCACUACUGCUGAGUGAUAAGAAUUAGCAGCUCUACCGGCUGUGACCUACACUGUAUCAGCCCAGUCUCCUGCACAAUGAACAAUGGUUUCCUUGUUUUUUUUUAAGAUUUAUUAUGUAUACAGUAUUCUGCCUGCAUAUGUCCCUGCAGGCCAGAAGAGGGCACCAGGUCUCAUUACAAGUGGUUGUGAGCCACCAUGUGGUUGCUGGGAAUUGAACUCAGGACCUCUAGAAGAGCAGUCGGUGCUCUUAACCACUGAGCCAUCUCUCCAGCCCGAACAAUGGUUUCCUAACACCUCCCUCUGCUUCUUUUUAAUGCAUGCUUCUUAAAAUAGAAAGUCAGAUUUCUUGCUUUCCCAUAGCCCUUUGCAUUUCCACAGCCAGUCUUCCAGUCCACUUAUGCCAGGAAAGACACUUUCUCUCGUGGUGUAUGAGCCAGUGGAUACUUGCAAAUCUCCUCUCAUGACCUUUCAGGGACCUGUUGCUCACGCCCUCUUUUCCCUUAUAUCUGCAACACCACCCUCGCUUCUCCAAUUCCUCUUGGUCUAGUUGCUGGCUUUGGUCUUUUACUCCUUAUUAUUAUACUGAGGGGCUUGCGGAGUUGUUCUGAUUUUCACGUGUAUUGAUUUGGGAGAGUUUGUUUUUCCACUCUAGCCUCACCUGCUUCUUCAUAUCCUCUUCUAGAGAGUCUUAUUCAAAGCUAGAUCUGUGUUCUCCAUGUCUCUUCUAAGCUCUGGGAUCACCUCUGUCUACAUAUCCCUAGAAGAAUGCCAGAUUCAAUGUGUCUCAAGACGAGCUUGCUACAUUACCCGUCACCGUGAGCAUUCGCUCUUCUCUCACAAGAAAUCUGAGUUACUCUAAGUAACUCCCCCGUUCUUACCUGGUCCCAUCGGCUCUCACCUGAACUGUAUCCUAUUCUUUCCUCACCGUCUCUGCCUCCGCUUGAGCUUUUGACUUAUUUCACCAACUUGCUGUAAUCUGAAGUGCUCCUCUUAAGCUAAAGACUAACCAGUACCAAAAGUGCACCACUUCAAGCCUGUCAGGAGUUCCCAGUGCCCAUAGGAUGAAUCCUAACACCCUUAUCACACCAGUAAUCUUUUCCUACCAUUUUUUAUCAUAAUUACGCCCCUCCAAUUUGCCACAGCCAGUUCUGGCUACACAGAAGUGCCAGGAUGUUCGUAACAGGGUUUACUCUGUCUCCUAGCCUUGAGUUGUUCAUACACUUGCUGAGAUAUGGUCUCAUGGCUUCUCUGCCAGCAAAACCUCCCCCAGAUGGAGACAGGUAUAAUCUCCCGCAGACCUGCAUCACAUUUGGUCCAGUUCUGACCAAGGCUGCUCUUGCAGCACUAAAUCCUGAGAGUUUCUAAGAAAGAGUCAUCUCUUACCAAUUACUGAAAACCAUUCUACAGUGUUUGAUUAUGUAGUUAGUUAAUAACGAAUAAUUUUUAACUCUAAAUCUAAGAUGUAGACAGGGUUGUUCUCUUGGACUACUUAAUUCUGAAAUUUCUACACUCUGUAAAAAAACGAGUUGUAGAUCUAAACUACUUUUUAAGAUUAUGAUACAAGAUCCAAGUGGAAGAAUAAACUCUUAAUUCUAAAGCAAUUUUUUUUUUUUUUUAGGUUUUUCGAGGCAGGGUUUCUCUGUGUAGCUUUGCGCCUUUCCUGGAUCUUACUCUGUAGACCAGGCUGGCCUCGAACUCACAAAGAUCCGCCUGGCUCUGCCUCCCAAGUGCUGGGAUUAAAGGUGUGCGCCACCACCGCCUGGCUGCAAACGUAUUUUUCAAAAGAAACCCACUUUGUUUCCAUUUCCUUUCAUACUGUUUGAUAAAACAUACAAUUUUAGGUGAAUGGCUGAAAUGUUUUCAAACCCACCAUAUUGAAUAUAUGCAACGUAAAUUAUAUUCUAGUCUUGGUUUUUGUUUCCCCAGCAUAUGUUUUGUUUGCUUGUUCGGCAGUUUUAUUUUUUGAGACAUAGUCUCACUCUGUAGGUCCAACCAGCUUGGAGCUUGCUGGCCUCAAAUUUGUGGCAAUCCUCCUGCCUCAGGCUUGCUAGUGCUGAGAUUACAGAGUGAGCCACUGUGCCUGGACAGUUGGCUAGCUUUCUCCUUUUCAUAGAGAGUUACCCUGAAAACCAGUUUUCUGGAGAGUUAACUUAAAGGAAAAUUAAGGCUUUUCACCUCAGCCACCAAGGGCACACCAUUUCUCUUUAACCACAGCUGAAUGUGAUGCCACUGGAGACAAUAAGGAACACAGAGCCUGACAGCUAAGCCCUCAACUGUGGAUAACCAGCCCCUCCGGUAUGGUGAAGCCCACACACUGAGCGUAGACCUUCUGCCUGGUGAAGGUGAAAGUUCCGAGUCCUGAAAUCUGAACUCCCUGAAAGGGAAAAAGAAGACAAAAGAGAAGAGCACACACAGUUCCAUUAAAGGGUAAAGUUUCAUAACCAUCCAAUCAGCAAAAAGAAAGUGAAGAUUUAAGCUUACUGACUUAACAUUCAGUAGUCUCUGUGAGUGCUUUUUGAUGUAAUAUUUUUAUGAAAAUGUUUAUGAGUACCGUAGCUUUUAAAAAUUCAUAUCAAAUAUUAUCCUUGUCCUAAAUCAUGUGGCAGAAGUUCAAUCAUUUCCCAUUUAAUGAAAUCUUUGUUUUCUUCUUCUCUCAGAUUUUAUGUUCCCCAUUUAAAGUCAGACAGCUCACUAGUGGGAGAGGGCUGAAUAUGAGCAAGCCCAAUCAUGUAUGUAAGAAAAGGUCACAAUGAAGCCCAGUGCUUGUGUGUUAACUAACGAAAUGGGAUAAGUAGAUGAGAUGAAAUGGAAUCUGACAAACCAGCAUCCAGGAAUCUCCUACAAUGUAACCUUGGCCAUUGAGUAAACACAAAUACCUCUUGACCUCAAAUUUGGUCUGUGAUAUGACAUGUGAUACUCUAAGAUAUCAUACACCAGUGGUAACAAACUCAAAUCUAUAGGAACAGAAAAAAAAAAGCCAGGGCAUGAAGGGAACCAACUAGAAUGUGUGGUGGCCAGAAGAUGCAUGCUUCAUGUAAAGGGAAGAACACAUCAUGGCCUGCAUCCAUGAUCACAUACAAAUAUGAAAGACCAAUAUCAUUAAGCCUGUUGAGUUUUCAAGAAAAUGGCAAGAAAAAUACGAAGCUUUACAAAUACUUUGCCAAUUUUAAUUAAUGAUAAGUAAUUCAAAUUCCCAAACCAAAUAAAAUAAGUUUGAAGGGUUCAUUCAGUCAUGGACUGUCAUCAUUAGGACAUGUGAGUAAGGUAUAAAAGUUCCACAACCUCCUAACUGCCUCCAGGCUCCUUCCAAAAUCUCUACCUAGUUCUACAGCAUUUAAACCCAAGAUUUGACUUGAAGAAAUAGUCCAACCACAGGUAGUUUCUUAUUUUGCACUAGCUGAAUUUAGUUUCUGUAUUUAUAGAUUCCAAUUAAAAUUUAUUUCCAGCAAAAUGGCAGAACAAGAAAUUUCUUCCUUUCCAUACUCAUGCCAGGAACUAUCAGACCACAAAUAGUUUCUUUACACAAACCCAGAUGGAGCAACACUGUGUUCUCUGUAUCAUUAAAAGAGAUUUACAAAUGUGUUGUCUAAAGAUAAUAUCCAGCUUGCCACAAGUUCUACAUGUAUCAAAAAACAAAAUCACAAAGGAUAGACAACAAAACAGAAUGGCUCUAAAUCUACUGCACUAUCCCCAGCAGAAGUCUGCAAGUCCUCGGAAGAAAUAGCUCUCGAAUUAUUGUGUUGAAACUGGAGUGUAAAACCUACCUUAUGCAGGUUCCUCUUUGGAUUCCUGAGUUCUGUGUGCACCCUGUGACUGCUGCUGAAGCCCAGCAUGGCAGAGACUUAUUGGGCCUUAGUGAAAAACUCUCCCCUUCUGAUGCCAAUGGGGAUUGAGAGCCCAAUAUGGCCAGCCUUGGCAAGCAUUAACAUAAGCCUAGGAACUGUAGCCAUGCGGUUGGAUUCUACAGAAGGCAAUGUAUGGUAACUGCUUUUUCAAGUAUAUUUAAGAACAUGUCACCCAGACACCUUAGAGAGUAAGAAUAACCCUCAAGGUCACUGACCUCCCUUUGUUAACAGUAGCAUGCCAGCUAAGCCUUUUCAUUUUCACAAUCCUCUUCAAGCUGGUGUAGUACCUACUUUUCAGGAGUGACUCUAUGCAACAUUUAUUGGCCUCCUGAAAUUCAUUUAGCCCCCUUUGAAGAUACCUUAAAAUUUAUGAGCCUGAAUAUAGCCAUUAUGAGACAAUUAGUUAUGCUCCUUGUGAGCUGCCUGUUUUUUCUUUAUGGUUCUUAGUUGUUCUUUUGCAGAGCUACCAGCUUAAGUCGUGCUGGGAUCAAGAAAAAUGGGCCUUGGCGGUUCAUGUUCCUGGAAUUGUAUCCAUGCCAGUGGAUGCCCACACACUCCAGAAGAGAAUUUGACAUCGCUGCUGCUGUUGUUGCUGUUAUAGCAGUGGCAGCCACCGCUGCUACUGUUUCUGGGAUUAACAUUUCAUAAUUGCUUACUACAGCUAGCACAGUGGAGACUCUGGCAACAAAAGUAGCUACCACAGUUAGUUAAUUUUUCAUUCUAUUGGGCAUGAUACAUUUAAUUCAAUAGCUAUAUACAAUUCGAUUGGCUUUGAAAAUUAUAAAUUUAUAAACUCAAGAUCCAUUUGCUUUUGGGAUAUCAUCUUACAAGGACUCCAAUUUGCAAUAAGGCUCAUUAAGGAAGGGAAUGGCUCAAUUGCCUUUAGCCUACUGGCUAUGGGUGGGUUAGGACUUCUGUUGAUCUUUUCUGUGACGAACACACAGAUUGCAAACCCAGUGCCACUUUGAGAUCUUUGGUAGCAGUUAACUCUGCAGCUCACACACAAUUGAGCCUGUAUGAUAAUGAGUAUUCAAAGUGCCUAUGUGGCCUGGGCAGGCAUCUCCACGACAGGUAAGGUGACCUGCUGACAUCCCACACAACCUAAGUCAGAAGCUCAUUUUCUAGUAAAAGGGGGACCUGUAGGUCCCUGGCCCCUGUUUUGGGUAACUGUUGCCUUGCUUGCUGACCUUGACCUUGAUAUCCUCCCUAUGCUAAUUCCCUGCCAGGUUCCACCCUCCUGAAUGCUUAAGAGAAGUUCCUUGUCUGUGUAUCCUGCAUAAUGGGCGUUAACAGCUUAGAUGCAAAAUUGUAAAACAUCAGUAGCAAACUUCUGCCCUCUGGGGUUCUCCCAUUGUACUGUAAGCCUGUAUUUAAGACCUCUUCCCUCCUUCAAUAAACGACAUUUGUCAAAAAAGAAAAGGAAAGAAAAGAAAACAAAAGAAAAGAAAAAAACCUACCUUAUGCAUAGCUAGCUGCUUUUCCACAAAUUCUGAAACAUUCCCCCAGAUGGUAGAGACUUCUGAAAGUCAAAGGAAAAAUGAAAACAAUUUAUGUGAGCAACCAUGUAGUAGUAUUUUAAUCCUAAUAAGCAAAAGUAUAAAUAUAAAACGAAUAAUUAAGUGGUUGUAACUUCUAGUGCAUAUGAACUAACAGAAAUAAAAUCAUUCCCCUAAAUUAAUCUUCUUGUUAACUAAAGCCUAUGCCGAUAAAUUCCACAGAUAGGGCUUUAAUUACAACAAUAAUGGGGCUGGGGACUGUGGUCUGUGUGAGUCCCUAGAUUGAAUCUUCAGUACUACAACAAGAGGGGUAUUGUGUAACUCAGUAGUAGAAUACUUACCAUGCAUGAGGCCCUGCAUUCAGUCCUUAAGGACUAAAUAACAGUAAUAACAAUGAAAAUAAUAAAGAAAACCUCUCUAUAAUAAAGGGAAAUAAGUCAUGUUUCAUUUUAUCUAACACAUGGAGGGUUAACCAACUGUAUUUUUUUUUUCUUAAUGAUUCAUUCAACGGCUAUUCCUAAAGUAUUUGCUAUGGCUACCUGAUUAGUAUGAACAAGAGCUUUUAUACUAUUCUAUAACACAGGAACAAGGCCAAGGGCUACUGACACAUGAAAGGCUGCCUGCCUGCUCUGUAUACUAACUGUCCCUACUCAUCUGCUUUUGCAAAAUUCUCAGAGAUGCUCUUCAUGUCCAUGUUUCACUGUUAGAUAGCAGCUGUCCUGUCUUUCUGCUACUAUUGUUCUGAAGGCUCCCUGCUCCUCCCAAUUUACUGCUGCUAGUCCGAUAUGUUCUGAAAACAACAAAUAAACUAACAUACAUCUACGGUGUUAACUUAUAAACACUAAGUAUGGGGAGGGGCCCCAGGCUCUUUUGUUUGAAUUAAUAGAUGGACUUCAUAAUUCUCCUCUGAUCUAAAGACUUUCUUAUUUUCUUGUACUGACUUCAGUUCUCUUCCCUCUAACCCCAAAAAAACUAGCAAAAAAAAAAAUAGUUACCAAUGUUGAUGUACAAAAUAAAUAUGUAAUCUGGAUAUGAGUGGCACUUAACAAUAUAGAAAACUAUGUCUGUAUUGACCUCACCAUCCUAAGUCUAAUUGUAUAUUUAUUAUUAGUGAUAAUUUCUAAUUUAGAAAUUUUUUACAAAUCAAGAAGGCUAAGUUUUAAUUAUUAAAAUAAAGGGCUGAAAAAAGUAACUUCUACUGGGCCACCACUUGGGGACAUGGAAGAAGCUAGCAACAAAAGGCCAAACCAACAAUGCAAACUGGUAUUAUUUUUAUCCUGAAUGGAUUAAACCGCUAACUAAAGCAGGAAGAUUACAGCCUCUAACUCUGAUAUUUUACCAGGACUGUAAAAUACCUUUUACUAACAAUGUGGCAGGAAACAGGCAAGCUCGGUGGACAGAAAUCAGUGCUUGUGCUCCUGAGCAUCUUGGAACAAGUUUAACAAUGGAAACUCGUGACCAAUGAAACGGGGGCUACUUGCCACGGUGAACACAAGGCCCACUGGGAACCGGUAAUUGCUGUUUCUAUACCUUUGCCUUUCCCCCGACUGUGCCCCAUCCUACAGUAGUUACCCCCUCCAUCCUUACCCAAUAACCCAAAGGAUUCUACUCCUUGCUGCUGAAAACUAAGAAAGUCUACCAAAGACCAGGUGUGGCGCUGCACACUUUUAAUCCCAUCUCUUGGGAGGCAGAGGCAGGUGGAUCUCUGAGUUUCAGGUCAGUCUGGUCUACAUAAAGAGUUCCAGGACAGACAGUGCUACACAGUGAGACCCUGUCUGAAACAAAAAGGAGGAAGAGAAAGAGUAGGUCUGUCAAUCAAUCCCAACUAUAUACUGAGUUAAAACUCUCUUUGACACCAUAAAAGUAAUUAACUCACUAACAGAAAUCUUAUUAUCCCGAUUGACAUGGAGAAUUUUCAGGUUUAUAAUAUAAAACUGAUAACAAGUCUACAAUGCAGCUCAGACUUCAAGAAAACUAUCUAUACCAAAGAGGAAAUGAUUUAAACAGGGCCAGGAGAAACUAUGUACUUUGUAACCAAACCCUGGUGAAAAGUCUUUGAUUUAACUGGGAAUUUGAGCAUGCUCUGUGUUCAUAGAGAUGAUGUAUUGAAGUCUAUGUAAUGUUUUAUUCAAUAAAGUAGGUCAGGCAGAGUUACACAAGAGUAGAGUUAAUUAUUUAAACUGAAGUUUGAUAUUUCUCACUGGAAAAAGAGGCUUCAGGCCCCUGCAAUUCAAUUAGAAUAAUUUGUAAAUGUUACCAAUUAUGGCUUCUAAACCAUUUGUUCUGAUAACCCAGUUUUAGGAAGAUUAUCACUAAAUCUCAGAAUAAAAAUAAUUUCAACCCUAUCUAAAGAUCAGUUUAAAUGUAACCCAUGACAACAGGCUAAAAAAGAAAAGUCUGCUCAUUUAACAAAAUCCAGCACCUUCCCCCUACACACACAGACACACAGACACACAGACACACAGACACACACACACACACACACACACACACACACACACACACACACACAUACACACCCCUCAGAAACUAGUGUGUUCAUUUACUUUGCUUAAGUACAAUGAAAUAUCCAAAGUGGCUAACUUAUAAAGAAGUUUAUUGAGCUCAGCGUUAUGGAAGUGUUCCAAGUUCAAGAUCAGGCAGCCCCAGUGAUUUAGGCUUUGCGUCCAUGCUACAUCAUGGUGAGAAUAUUUGUGCAUGGAAGAGAUUGUAUGACCAAAUAUGAAACUAGAGUGAGGGAGAAGAGAGGGACAGACUGGUGUUCUAGAAUGCUGAGGACACACUUUAACGAUCUUUUGCGGAGAACAUUUUUCAAAUGAGUUUGUCAUUUCACACUUGGGAGUCAUAGAUGAUGCUCUUGGGUCACCUUCCACAUUGUCCCAGCAUUAAGUACAGGAUUUUCUUUAGUGAUGUAAUCUCUUUAACAGUUAUAGCAAACUUGAACUCUUUCAAGCUCUUUUGCUAUGAAACUGGAUGUUCUUUUCUGCUUUACUUUUUUGUUCUAAGUUCUCACGAUAAAUCAAGGGGAAAAUCAGUGAGUAAUAACCAUGGCAUAGCCUGAAUGUUACCCUAUCUUGAAAUUCCCUCCAUGAAGUAAAUCACUCUGUAUUUUUAAAUCCAUCUGUACUCAAAUCUCCAGCACAUGAGCAGAACACAACCACUUUUACAGAAUUCAGCACAAAUGGCCUCUCACCCAAUUCCUGAUGUGGUCUUGUUUCUCUUCUGAAAUCUUGUGAGCAAUCUCUAUUUUCCACAUUCCUAGUCACAUUUUUGUCUUCUCUCACCAGAAUGACCCAUUAAGCUGAGAACAGUGUCCUAAGGGCUUCUCUAGGCCACAUCUCAGAACUUCUCUACAUGCCUCCUAUAAACCAGUUCCAAUAGUUCUAUGCACACCAUGGUCAGGUUAAUUGCAACAAUGACCCCACUUCUCUGUAUAUUCCAUACUCAACAAAAGAACCUAGGUAGGGGUUAUUUGACUCAGGGUAUAGUCCACCACGGAAGGCACAAUGACCAGAAUGUCUCAGUCGGUGGUGACAGGAGCCUCUCAGGUGAAUCAGGAAGCAGAGAGCCCAGACUGGGCCAUGCUGUAAAAGAAUGCUCCAGGGACCAAUCUUUGCUGACUAGGUCGCACAAUGCCCCAAACAGUGCCACCAGCUGGAUCUGGGUGUUCAAACAUGUAAGUCCAUGGGGGCCAUUUCACAAUUAAUCAUAAUUAUCAAGGUUAAUAGUUAAAAGUGAAUUGUCUAUAUAGUUGCAAUGAAUAAAGAGAAUUUUAAAAGUAAGCACAGUAUAACAUUAGAAUUCAUUAAAAAAUGAAAUAGGUAUAGAUUUUAAAAAGAACAUAAAAUCUAUGAGAAAAUAUUUACAAAACUGAUGAAAGAAAUCGAAGAACUACGUAUUAGAACAUUUUGUGGAUGAGAAGGUUCAGCAUUGUCAAGAUGUUAGGUUUCUAUAGAUUCGAUACAGUCUCAGCUUCCCAGCAAGCCAUUUUUUACACAUCGACAACCUUAUUCUAAAGCUUACUAUACUUAAAACGGACUGCGUCUUGCUACUGCCCUCUGAGUUUUCUAUGAAAAUUGUCUGUCAAGAAACAUCACUUUCCACUAACAUACCCGUAAGACGUCAAGGACUACAAAUAUCGGUGCCCUUUCCAAAGUAAACUCUGAAAAUGAGCCAUUUGGGACUCGAGUUGGGAACGCUUUUCUGUAGGUAGCCAUAAGGGUUUUCAUCCACCCUAGGUUAGGUGGGGGAGCUUGUUCUCAAUACUUAGUGCUAAUCAGGCCAUGCGGAAGAAAAAAACGCCUGCGCAGGUUCAAGUCUGGCAACAGCGAAAUAAGCUCUGAGUCAUGCCUUGAAGCACAGUAAGGUACAGCCCCAGACACCACAUGAAGUCGCUUACCCUCCUGGCUCAGCGAAGGCAGUGUGGGCAGCACCUGCCUGCACAGGUCCUGAAAACCCGGCGCAAUCCUGUCCAGCAUCUUCCGUUCCGAUUGACUCCGUGGUGGGUCCUUGAUGGAUAGUCUCUGCUUUGUUAUAUGGAGUUUGCGCUAAAAAGGAUUUUCCCACCCUCCAGCCCUCUUUGCCCUGAAUUUAGGGUGUACUUUGAAAUCGAAAAUUUGCUGUAAAAGUCUUGAUAUGUUUUGAUAUUAUUUUUCCUUAAAUAAACGUUCUUUAUCGCCGUCCCUCCCCCGGUGAUCUGGCCCGCGGAUAACCUGUUCCCCCAACACGAAGCCAGAGCGCUGUCCCUCGCUAAGCUAGAACUGCAAAUCCACGCCCAUCCAAACAGCGAGGACCUCGGGCAGACGGAGGGCUUAGAGGGUCGCUGAACCAAGAAGGCAUUGGGAAGGGGAGGGCUGAAAGCGUUGCUAUGACGCGACAAAGACUCGCUUGGUUGCUAAGGCAUCGAGGUUCCGCCCCCUAAGAGAAUCGGAUCUCUAGGCUGCUGGAGAACUCAGGCAGAGACGUUAGAAAGUAAUUAAAAGAAAAAUUGUUCCUUCCCACUUGUCCAGGGCUGGGAAAAGACUUGGCCUUCAAGGUGGUCCAUGUCGCAAUCAUCCAGAGCGAAUGGUGGUGGGGUAGGGGUGAGGAGGGCGAGGGUGCGUUUUGCUAACAGCGAUGUAGAUUAGACUCUAUCCUGAUUGAGGAUUUGAGCCCAGCUGAAAUUUAUUCUUGGCUUUGUUUUGUUUCCGGGCUCCUCUCUAGCAAAUGGAGGGCUGGAGAAGGAGGGCAGAGUUUAGGCGUUUACUCCCCACUCCCUCUUUUCCCCUUCCCUAUAGAGGAGGGAAUAGGACAAACCUCGGGAUGACCUUGGUGUCCUCCCUCCUGCAAAGUCUGCACAUGUCAACCCCACGCAGGUCAAGAAACAAGGCUGUCAGUACCACAGAAGUGUUCUUCCUUCCCCUGAGAUCAUUAUCCCACCUUAAACUAUAUAUUAGCUUUGACAGUAUUUGAACUUUUGAAAACAUGUAAUACAUAUUUUGUCUGUCUCUAUCACAUUUUUUGUAACAGUCAUUUAUGCUUUCUGUGGUAGCUAUUUGUUCAUUUUGACUUGCAUAAUUCUGUGUGCAUAAAGGACAAGCUAUUUAUCCAUUCCUGUUGAGGAGCGUUUGAGUUGUUUCCAUUUCUGGCAUUAGGAAGAAUAUGCUAGUGCAAGCAUUCUGUACAAGACUUUUAAUUUUUUUGCUAAUAUGUAUUCAUCUCUGAUGUGUAUAUAACUCAGAGUACAUUGGUAGGUCAUGGGAAAGGCAGGUGAUUGGUUUAGAUGGUGCCAAGCACAUUCCCACAGUGGUUGUUGCUAUGGAGAGGCAAGAGGAGCCGUUGGCAUGUAAUAUGGACAGAGGUCAGACAUGAUAGAUCACUUGAAAGGAAAAAGAGUUGUUCCACAGUCACCAUUUUUAAACAUUUCAUCUGAUGUCCAUGUAAAAUCCAAAACCAAAAAAGGCUGCUUUGCAGCUUAGAAUAAAAAAGCUGUAAUCCAUA